rnacentral:rRNA from 1 species
UACGGGGGGGCAAGCGUUGUUCGGAAUUACUGGGCGUAAAGGGCGCGUAGGCGGCCAGACAAAGUCGAGCGUUAAAUUCCAGGGCUUAACCCUGGGCUGUUGCUCGAUACUAGUCGGCUAGAGUGUGGAAGAGGGUGCUGGAAUUCCCGGUGUAGCGGUGGAAUGCGCAGAUAUCAGGAGGAACACCAAUAGCGAAGGCAGCUCGCUGGGACGGUACUGACGCUAAGGCGCGAAAGCGUGGGGAGCGAACGAGGA